rnacentral:lncRNA from 1 species
AUAGACCUUCUAAAUUGAGAAGAGUCAUAAUGACAAGAAAGAAAAAGACUGUAAGGAUUCUUCACUUUCCUCGAUGAGAUGAGCCUUCUAUCUUUUCGAAGGUGAUGCCUUCAAUUAAUAUUUCUUUUUGGAAGGAAGUAGUAAAUUCAAAUUUUAACUCAAUAAUUUAAAAUCAAACUUGGAUCCUAACCAAGCUACCACCUAGA